CGAAGGGGGCUAGCGUUGCUCGGAAUUACUGGGCGUAAAGCGCGUGUAGGCGGUUGUUCAAGUCGGGUGUGAAAGCCUUGAGCUCAACUCAAGAAAUGCACUCGAUACUGAAUGACUAGAGGACCGGAGAGGAUAGUGGAAUUCCCAGUGUAGUGGUGAAAUACGUAGAGAUUGGGAAGAACACCAGUGGCGAAGGCGGCUAUCUGGACGGUUUCUGACGCUAAGACGCGAAAGCGUGGGGAGCAAACAGGAUUAGAUACCCUGGUAGUCCACGCCGUAAACGAUGGGUGCUAGACGUUGGCGAGCUUGCUCGUCAGUGUCGCAGCUAACGCGUUAAGCACCCCGCCUGGGGAGUACGGCCGCAAGGUUG
rnacentral:rRNA from 1 species